AUUGAACGCUGGCGGCAUGCCUUACACAUGCAAGUCGAACAGCAGCACGGGAGCAAUCCUGGUGGCGAGUGGCGAACGGGUGAGUAAAGUAUCGGAACGUGCCCAGUCGUGGGGGAUAACGUAGCGAAAGUUACGCUAAUACCGCAUACGAACUAUGGAUGAAAGCGGGGGAUCGCAAGACCUCGCGCGAUUGGAGCGGCCGAUAUCGGUUUAGGUAGUUGGUGGGGCAAAGGCUCACCAAGCCGACGAUCUGUAGCUGGUCUGAGAGGACGACCAGCCAGCCUGGGAGUGAGACACGGCCCAGAAUCCUGCGGGGGGAAGGAGUGGGGAAUUUUGGGCAAUGGGCGAAAGCCUGAUCCAGCCAUGCCGCGUGCAGGAUGAAGGCCUUCGGGUUGUAAACUGCUUUUGUCCGGAACGAAAAGGUUUGGCCUAAUAAGCUGAGCUCAUGACGGUACCGUAAGAAUAAGCACCGGCUAACUACGUGCCAGCAGCCGCCGUAA
rnacentral:rRNA from 1 species